GAUGAACGCUGGCGGCGUGCUUAACACAUGCAAGUCGAGCGGGCAAUUUAUCUAGCACUGAUUACUUCAAAUGGAAAUCAUAAGUGUAAUCAUGAAUUUCUACCUUUAAUAAAGAAAAAAGAAAUUCAUGUACGCAAAUAGUGAUAACACAUUUUAGUGGAGUGAUGAGUGCUGGAUAAAUUGCUAGCGGCGGACGGGUGCGUAACACGUGGGUAACCUGCCCCUAUCACUGGGAUAACACACUGAAAAGUGUGCUAAUACCAGAUAACAUAAGCUUUUGGCAUCAUUAGCUUAUCAAAGAAUUUCGGAUAGGGAUGGGCCCGCGUCUGAUUAGCUUGUUGGUGAGGUAACGGCUCACCAAGGCAACGAUCAGUAGCCGACCUGAGAGGGUGAUCGGACACACUGGAACUGAGACACGGUCCAGACUCCUACGGGAGGCAGCAGUGGGGAAUAUUGCACAAUGGGCGAAAG
rnacentral:rRNA from 1 species